rnacentral:pre_miRNA from 1 species
UCUAACGCCUGAGCAAAGAAAGUGGUUUCUUGAGAUGGAAUCUACUCCUGGUGAAGAUGCUGAGGA